CUUGACCUCGUAAUCCGCCCACCUCGGCCUCCUAAAGUGCUGAGAUUACAGGCGUGAGCCACCACGCCGGGCCCAGACGUUACCCUUUUAAUCCAUGACCCUGUGCAAGCAGUGCUUUAUACUACUUUGUCACAAUUUAACAGCCGGGCGUGGCUGGCCAAAGGGCCUCCCAGGCACGGAAGCUGACCAAAGACUAUCACAGGCUGAAUGCCAAGAUCUCAUCCUUGGCCCCUGCGGUGUUAGCCAUUACCACCAUUACCAAGAUGGUGGAUGAACACACAGGAGACGGAUACGCAGCACGCGGUCACGCCAUCUCACCAACCUGAUGAUGGCGUCACAGUCACACGGCCCGUCACAAUCCUGCCUGAGGCACACACGGUAACGCACACACUGGUCACGCGCGGGCCCCCACAAACAAGCUAUUCCAGCCACACAGAUGCAAACCUCAUAGCAACACAAGACAGAAGACACACGUUCUCCUGAGCAGGCUCGGAAGGCGCACCGGCAGACGCACGCGAACAUACCCAUAGGCAGCCCCAGACACAGACCGUCCUACAGCUCCCGGUUGGCACAGGCUGGCUUCUAUGAAGCAUGCAGCCCCCUACCUGGUUCUCCCGCAUACAAGCAGCACCGCCUCGCACGUCCUCCUUCACCCUGAGAACACGGGGGUCGCAGCUCCAUGGCCAGGCAGGACCAGCCCGCAGUGGCCUCUGGGUAUAUACCCAAAAGAACUGAAUACAAGAACAUGCACACACAUGUUCAUAGCAGCACUAUUUACAAUAGCCAAAAGGUGGAAAUAGCCCGGAUGUCCAUCAAGAGAUGAAUAAAGUUACCAGAUUACCAAACAGAUGAAAGUUCCCAAAUAGACAAAAUUACCAGUUGUGGUAAUUCAUGCAAUGGAAUAUUAUUCAGCCAUAAAAAAAGAAUGGAGUGUGUGUAACGCCACAACAUGGAUGAAGCUGCAAAAUAAAGAAGGUAGAUACAAAAGGUUA